AGUAAAUUUUGCAAAAUAAAUUCAGUUUUUUUCCCGUUUGUUGCUGCAACUAGCAAAUUGCAAAUUUCAUUGUGUUACAAUCUAAUAUGUUUUCCAAACGAACUAUUUCAGAGAAAAUGAGUCAGCUGAAUUAUCCCCACAUUACCAGGCCUUGAGACUGGGUGACAGCGGAUUACAUUGUCGAACAACGUUGCGCGGUCAUACAGAUCUAGCGCAUGCUUCUUUGAAGCAGAGCAAAUCACUAUGCUAUCCGUUGAAUUGUUAUUUUUGUCUACACUAUCGAUAAAUAAAAUAGUUUUUGCAGCUUA